rnacentral:rRNA from 1 species
UACGUAGGGUGCGAGCGUUGCCCGGAUUUAUUGGGCGUAAAGGGCGCGUAGGCGGCCUGGCGCGUCGGCUGUGAAAUCUACGGGCUUAGCCUGUAACGUGCAGAGGAAACUGACAGGCUUGAGUGUCGGAGAGGAUAGGGGAAUUCCCGGUGUAGAGGUGAAAUUCGUAGAGAUCGGGAGGAACACCAGUGGCGAAGGCGCCUAUCUGGCUGACAACUGACGCUGAGACUCGAAAGCAUGGGGAGCAAACAGG